rnacentral:pre_miRNA from 1 species
CAUGUACUCCCUCCGUUCCGAAUUACUUGUCGCAGGUAUGGAUGUACCUAAUGUAUUUUAGUUCUAGAUACAUCCAUUUCUACGACGAGUAAUUUGGAAUAGAGGGAGUACACU